rnacentral:rRNA from 1 species
GCGGCGUGGAUAAGACAUGCAAGUCGAACGGGACUUUCAGUGUAGCAAUACAUUGAAAGUUCAGUGGCGUAAGGGUGCGUAACACGUGGGAAAUCUGCCGAGAAGUGGGGGAUAGCUCGCCGAAAGGCGAAUUAAUACCGCAUGUGGUCAGCGAGGACAUCCUCGCGAAACCAAAGCCGGGGCAACCUGGCGCUUCUUGAUGAUCCCGCGGCCUAUCAGCUAGUUGGCGGGGUAAAAGCCCACCAAGGCUAUGACGGGUAGCUGGUCUGAGAGGACGACCAGCCACACUGGAACUGAGACACGGUCCAGACACCUACGGGUGGCAGCAGUCGAGAAUUUUUCUCAAUGGGGGCAACCCUGAAGGAGCGACGCCGCGUGGAGGAUGAAGGUCUUCGGAUUGUAAACUCCUGUCAUUAGGGAACAAACCUCCCGGUUAACUGCCGGAGAGCUGAUAGUACCUGAAGAGGAAGAGACGGCUAACUCUGUGCCAGCAGCCGCGGUAAUACAGAGGUCUCAACCGUUGUUCGGAUUCAUUGGGCGUAAAGGGUGCGUAGGCGGCGGAGUAAGUCAGGUGUGAAAUCUCGGGGCUCAACCCCGAAACUGCACUUGAUACUGCUUCGCUAGAGUAUUGGAGAGGAGAUUGGAAUUUACGGUGUAGCAGUGAAAUGCGUAGAUAUCGUAAGGAAGACCAGUGGCGAAGGCGAAUCUCUGGACAAUUACUGACGCUGAGGCACGAAGGCCAGGGGAGCAAACGGGAUUAGAUACCCCGGUAGUCCUGGCAGUAAACGGUGCACGUUUGGUGUGGGAGGAUUCGACCCCUUCCGUGCCGGAGCUAACGCGUUAAACGUGCCGCCUGGGAAGUACGGUCGCAAGAUUAAAACUCAAAGAAAUUGACGGGGGCCCGCACAAGCGGUGGAGUAUGUGGCUUAAUUCGAUGCAACGCGAAGAACCUUACCAGGGUUUGACAUGCAUCUCUAAGGCGGUGAAAGCCGUCGAGGGUAGCAAUACCCGAUUUGCACAGGUGCUGCAUGGCUGUCGUCAGCUCGUGUC